ACCCGCCGAACCACAAACCGUGGACCGGGGACCCAGGAUCCCGGGGUGAAUCCAUCCCACCAAUAUGGGGGAUGGUAGGGCGCAUCUUCGCAGCUAACAGCAAUGAUGCGAAGCUUCUUCCCGCCCGAACCCGUCAGCUAACCCGGUAGGCGGCUCGGA
rnacentral:sRNA from 1 species